rnacentral:rRNA from 1 species
GGCUGCAGAAAUUUUAACUGUACAAAGGUAGCAUAAUAAUUUGUUUUUUAAUUAAAAACUAGAAUGAAUGAUUAAAUGAAAUAUAAACUGUUUCAAUUAAAAUAAUAUUAAAAUUUUUAUUUAAGUUAAAAAACUUAAAUAUAUUUAAAAGACGACAAGACCCUAUAGAAUUUUAUUUAUAUAUUAAAUAAAAAUAUUUAUUUAUUUAUUAAAUUUAUUAUAAUAAAUUUAAUUGGGGUAAUUUUAAAAUUAAAAAAAUUUUUUUUAUAUAAAACAUUAAUUAAUGAAUAAUAUAUCUUAAAUUUUAAAUUAUUAAAAUUAAUUACCUUAGGGAUAACAGCAUAAUUUUUUUUAAAAGAUCUUAUU